rnacentral:rRNA from 1 species
UACGGGGGGGGUAAGCGUUGUUCGGAAUUACUGGGCGUAAAGGGCUCGUAGGCGGCCAACUAAGUCAGACGUGAAAUCCCUCAGCUUAACUGGGGAACUGCGGCUGAUACUGGAUGGCUUGGAUUCGGGAGAGGAAUGCGGAAUUCCAGGUGUAGCGGUGAAAUGCGUAGAUAUCUGGAGGAACACCGGUGGCGAAGGCGGCAUUCUGGACCGACAUUGACGCUGAGGAGCGAAAGCCAAGGGAGCAAACGGG